AGGACGAACGCUGGCGGCGUGCCUAAUACAUGCAAGUCGAGCGGGGCUACCUCCGGUGGCAACACUGGUGGUAGCCGAGCGGCGAACGGGUGAGUAACACGUGAGGAACCUGCCCCGAAGACCGGGAUACGCCGGGGAAACCUGGUCUAAUACCGGAUACCCUCAUUGGAUCGCAUGGUCCGAUGAGGAAAUGGAUUCCGCUUCGGGAGGGCCUCGCGGCCUAUCAGCUUGUUGGUGAGGUAACGGCUCACCAAGGCAGCGACGGGUAGCUGGUCUGAGAGGACGAUCAGCCACACUGGGACUGAGACACGGCCCAGACUCCUACGGGAGGCAGCAGUAGGGAAUCUUGCGCAAUGGGCGAAAGCCUGACGCAGCAACGCGCGUGGGGAUGAAGCUCUCGGUUCGUAACCCCUUUCAGCGAGGACGAAAACUGACGGUACCUGACAAGAAGAACGCCCCGGACCAACGUACGUGCCAGCAGCCGC
rnacentral:rRNA from 1 species